rnacentral:rRNA from 2 species
UGGUUUAAUUCGAUGCAACGCGAAGAACCUUACCUGGUCUUGACAUCCACGGAAGUUUUCAGAGAUGAGAAUGUGCCUUCGGGAACCGUGAGACAGGUGCUGCAUGGCUGUCGUCAGCUCGUGUUGUGAAAUGUUGGGUUAAGUCCCGCAACGAGCGCAACCCUUAUCCUUUGUUGCCAGCGGUCCGGCCGGGAACUCAAAGGAGACUGCCAGUGAUAAACUGGAGGAAGGUGGGGAUGACGUCAAGUCAUCAUGGCCCUUACGACCAGGGCUACACACGUGCUACAAUGGCGCAUACAAAGAGAAGCGACCUCGCGAGAGCAAGCGGACCUCAUAAAGUGCGUCGUAGUCCGGAUUGGAGUCUGCAACUCGACUCCAUGAAGUCGGAAUCGCUAGUAAUCGUGGAUCAGAAUGCCACGGUGAAUACGUUCCCGGGCCUUGUACACACCGCCCGUCACACCAUGGGAGUGGGUUGCAAAAGAAGUAGGUAGCUUAACCUUCGGGAGGGCGCUUACCACUUUGUGAUUCAUGACUGGGGUGAAGUCGUAACAAGGUAACCGUAGGGGAACCUGCGGUUGGAUCAC